AUAUGCAUAUCACGCUAACAACCUAUCGCAUAAUAUCACACAACACGUAUUAUAAUAUUUGUUGGUGCAGGAAUUAGCACCUCCGACAAUACUAAUUUAAACCGAGGAAUAAUGUGAAUAAAAUCGAGAAUUCGAUUGAACCGGGGUAUCCCGGUUAGCCUGUUAAUGGGCCUAAGUCAUGAGAUCGCCCGAAGACUUAAGUCGACAAUCAAGAUCGCCAUAACCAACUUCUUAGGUCGUGUAAAGGGAAAACUUCCAUUUAAGAGAAGAGGAUCUCAUGAAGAAUAGAAGUAAUGAAGAUUUAAACCUAAGAUAAUUAGAAGUUUAUCAUAUUUUGGUAUAUUCGACCUAUUGUAUAAAUAGAGGGGUCAAACCCCCCAUUGAGAUCAUCUUUAACCUAAUACAAGAGACUACUAUUACAGAGCAAACCCUAGCUUUUUGUUUAAGCAACCUAGUUCUUUUCCUUUGAUUAUUUGUGAGCUAAGAGAGGAGUGAAUUUGUCUAAAUCCCUUAGUACAAAUUCAUUGUUUGAUUAC
rnacentral:sRNA from 1 species